AGAGAUAAGGGGACGAAAAUAGAGGACCAUAUUAUUUUGAUCGUCCCCAAUUACCAAAACUGAUACAGAUGGGGACUUUUAAAAAAAAUUGUCCCCUAUUCUUCGAUUAAUAAAUCAAUAGGGACGACUUUUUAUUCAAUACUUAUCUAAUUAGGUUUUUUGUAAAAUUGGGGACGGAAUUUUUUUUAUAUUAUGGAAUAUUAAAUUGAAAUUGUCUAAAUUAUUUAAUAUUCAAUCGGAGUUCAAAAUUGAAUAAGAUUUGAGAUAAAAUUGAAGAAGAUUGUGUUUAUUCCUUUUGGGUUUCUUCAAGUAUUGCUUGACUGUAUUGAAUUUUUUUAUUUGAUCUGAUUAGGUUGGUGGUUUUAUUUUAGGUUGUGUUGGAAUUUGGUGUAUGUGCUUUUCCCCUAGUGUGGGUUAGGGUUUCUGAUGGGGAGAACCAGUGAAACUAACUGAUAAUUGCGUCAUGCGUUAGAAGCGAACCUAUAUCUUCACCCACAACUGCCGUGCCUAAGAAGCGGCCAUUUUCUCAUUUCUCUGAAGACAACAAUAUAUUGUUGCUCAUGCUCUUUGCUAUGGCAAAGCUUGAUACUGUGGUUCUUCAAUUCCAGAAUUAAAAGCUUGUACUCUUGUAUAGACGUUGGAAGCUCAAAGCGUUGAGUAUUUUGCAUUAGAAAAUAAGUGCUCACAUGUGAAGGAGAAGCAAGAGCCUUCUGAUUCCACAUUGAAAGUUGUCAACAAUUCUCAGGGAUUGUGAUUGCUGAAUUCAAAUUGUAAUAGACAGCCACACUGCCAGAAGUCCAAUUCAAGGAGGCUAUACAAGGAACAUUGGAAGUUUGAAUUUGUCGUAAGGAGGAGAAUGUCUCUCUUAUGCGCCAAAUGAGAUAUUUAGCAAGUAAUGGAGCCAAGCAGAGUAUAGUUCAAGCAGUGCUUGCAGUUUAUGCCCCAAGCGAUGAGGUCGUGUAAUGGUCAAGGAUGUAGCUGUAACUCAGUCUCCUACUAAUAUUCAGCACUUGCUCAAAAUGCUUCUAGCCACUGUUACUUGGAUGUAUGUAUAUUAUGUAAAUGAAUGAUUUUAUUAAAAUUGUAUAUCUUUGAAUUAGUUUAUGAUGAACAUUCUGUUAUUUUACAUAUUUUUGUAAACAAUGUUUACUUUAUUAAUACAAAUAGACAUUGUUGUGUUUA